CUCGAUUACAAAUAUAUAUUUGCAUCAUGUGGCAAAUUUCAAGGGGCAACAUAGAGAGUUAGCACAAAACAAGUCCCACAUCGGAGGUCUUGUAAGCUUACAAAGGUCAAAGUAAAAUAAGCGCUUGUGUUGCAUCCUUCUACGAUGUUUAUUAGGAAUCAAUAGGAUCAGUGAAUAAAGUAGGGAUUUCAUAUGAGACAGGAUGUGGAAGGUGAAAGGGGAAGAAAGCAAGGAAGGAUAGGAAAAUUUGAACUCACAUCCUUUGAAAUAAGCGCUUGUGUGGUACCGUAAGAAAUGGAUCCAAAACUUUCAAUAGUGUCAAUCCUUUUUCUAACAACUACAUAUAUGAAGCACGAAGAAUAUACUAAGUAGGGUUUUCUUGAACUUUAUAUCAAUAACUUCUUCCUUAACGAUUUUAUUGAAGAUUAAGUUCAUCUAGUGCGAGACCAAGACUUUGAAGAUUUCUGAAAUAUCAUUGGUUUGCUGUUUAAACAAGGGCGUAUAUAUGGACGCAAACAAGUUCGGUCUACCUGUUUAAAAGACUAAAACCAACACUUUAUCAGCUUGAUUUUAUUUCUAGCAACUGACUCUUUUUGGUUCCUUAUUCUCAUUAGUCCAUUGUAAGAUACAUGAUAAUGGAGCGAUGCGAAUAAGAAAACAAGAAAGAUCGAAUUUGCUAGAACAAAAAAAAAAAAAAAAAAAAAGGUGGUGGAAAAUUGUCUUGAACCUUCUUAAUCAAGCUCGAUGGACUUGUUUGAGACCAUGUAUAAGCUUGUUUAAAUUGCAACAAUAUAUCAUUAAAAAAAAAACUUAAAAGUCUUAGUUGUACCACUUAAACCUCUUUUUCAACGGGUUCAUUGAAGUAAAUUCCACUUGCAAGUGAGUAUUAAAGCAAUAAUGAUCCUUAUUAGUGACUAGUUUAAUGAUCGGAGUGAAUGUGUCAUGGAAAUCAAAUUUUUAUUGUUUAUGAAUCCCUUUAGUAAGAAGUCUAGAUUUUUACUUGUUGAUUAAUUAAGCCUUUAAGAUUUUCCUUUACAUGAAACACUCGUUUUCUACAAAAAAAGAAGAAGA
rnacentral:lncRNA from 1 species